AGUGCGGAGCGGAUAACCGCUGAAAGCAUCUAAGUGGGAAGCCCACCUCAAGAUGAGUACUCUCAUGGAUUAAUCCAGUAAGGUCACAGGUAGAUUACCUGUUUAUAGGCAGUAGGUGGAAGUGCAGUGAUGUCCGCAGCCGAGCUGUCCUAAUAGACCGAGGGCUUGACCUC
rnacentral:rRNA from 1 species